GAGUAGAGCAGCUCUGGGAAAAAGAGAGCCAAUGUUUUGCUCCUUGGAGGCACACGUCUUGCCGUCCCGAGUCAGCGAACGAGCACACCUGUGACCCACCGCACGGGCGACGAAAACCGGAGACCGGGAAAAUGGCUUCCCUCUUUGAGUUCCUGAGAAAGAGCAAACUUUCUAUGUGCUUCUCUUUAAAAUGCAACAAUGUAAAGGUCACAGAGGAGGAGAUGAAACUCAGAGUUGUAAUAAGGCAGGAGAAAUAAAAAAUAAUGACAGAAAUAAAUUGUCAUAAGAGGGGAU
rnacentral:lncRNA from 1 species